rnacentral:rRNA from 1 species
AUGAGUACAUUAAGCUGGAACUGCCUAGGGCUUGGGAACCCUUGGUCAGUUCCAGAGCUUCGCAAAGUGGUGAAGUAAGAAGGCACUGCCCUUUUAUUUGUAAUGGAAACCAAAAUAAAGGGUAAAAGAGUGGCAGAUUUGAAAACCUCUCUUAGUUUUUCAGGAUGUUUUGCCGUCGGCAGUGAUGGGCUAAGUGGUGGUAUUGGUUUAUUUUGGUCGAAAUACAUUGAUGUUACUUUGGAAAACUAUAGUAUUUCUCACAUUGAUGUAACGGUCAAGCAAGAAAAUAAAUCUUGGCGGUUCACAGGGUUUUACAGGGCGCCACGAGUGGAAAACAGAUGUCAUAGUUGGCGCUUCCUUCGCACGUUGUUCACUCUUCUGCAUCAUGCAUGGAUUUGCAUGGGGGACUGCAAUGAGAGUUUAUAUGCAGAAGAGCAUUUUGGAGCAAAUGUGAGAUCGGAGAGCCAAAUGAAGGCAUUUCGGAAAGCAACAGAGGAGUGCUCACUCCAAGAUUUGGGGUGGAGAGGUGUACCAUUCACAUGGGAUAACAGGCAAGAUGGAGCUGCAAAUGUCAAAGCAAGGCUUGAUCAGGCCUUUGCGAACGCAGCCUUCCUGCAUCUCUUUGAGUUCACGUUAGUAAAACACAUCAAUAGUGCGGAAUCAGAUCACUGUUACGUGCUAGCUGAAGUGUGUACACAUGCAACAAACAAUUGGUCUAGAGCAGCAAAAAAAUUGAUAUAA